rfam:Sinorhizobium meliloti 1021 complete chromosome
AGAAUUCGAAGCAGCGCACUCCUCCUCCCAUCGCCGCUUCGAUGGAUUGGCAACACUCCUCCUCCCGGUUGCCAAUCGCCUUUAUGACGCCCGCCGGUCCUCCUCCCCCGACGGGCGUCAUUU